rnacentral:tRNA from 1 species
GGAGGUAGCUCAGUGGUAGAGUGCCUGCCUAGUAUGCACAAGGUCCCAGGUUCAAUCCCCAGCACCUCCA